AGCCUGUGGGGGAAUACAUCGAGCGAGCGAGAGAGGAACUAGAGUUUGCAAGAUUUCUAAUCAGUUCCUACUCUUGGAUUCUAUGAAAAGUGGAAUGGACUGUCUGAAGAUGUUGUACAAUUCCCUUCCAUAGAGGUUAGCAAUGACUGGAUACAGUGUAGGUACUGGGAGCCAAGAAUGAACAAUAGGAUGUGAGAAGCCAGAUUUGUGCCAUCACAAGCAAGGAAGCUAUAUCAUGCCAAAGGGGAACAUCUUGAGCACAUCAUAAAGGAGAGAAGAGGAUUUUCAUCAAUCAAGAACAGCAAGCCACCCUUUUAUUCCAUAUGUUCUCUUGUUUUGAGCCCACUUCUUUUAAGAAUCUACACUGUAGGAGAGUGGAUCACACAGUUGGGGAGAAUGUUUUGUAUCAGUUGUUUAUAUUAUGUCACCUUAGAAAGUGCCUCUUUCUAAAACUAAUUGAAUCUACCCAAUUAAAUAAAAUCAAUCAAUAAUCAUUGGGAGGAGCAGUGGAGUUGGGGUACUAGCAGUAUUUAUGAUUGAAAUUACCCAGUCUUGUCUCUUAGUGCUAUCCUUAGAGCCUUAUGAGGAUGUAGUAGCUAUUCUCUGACUUUUUCUCAACUUUUGCCAUUGGAGGUUGAGAAAAUAAGUCUCCCAACUUACCAAAUGAUAAAUUUCUGGUGUACAAUUCUAGUUACCCAUUUGUUUCUUAUUAGAUAUCUGAUAGGUGCUAACAGGGUUAAGUGUCUUGUGCUGGGUCACCUCCCUAGUAACUGUGUGAAAAUGACUUUGAACUCAGAUCUUCCUGACACCAAGCCCAAGGCUCUAUUCAAUCUAGUUGCCCUGGAAUAUGAGAACUAUACAUGUUUCAAAGUAUUUUGAACUGAAAAUAGAUUUCAUUUUUAAGUUGUUACUAAAAGUAUAAGCACGACUUUUAUGAUAAGAAACAGUAUAGUGGAAGGAGAGCAGGACUUUGAGUCAGGAAUACAUAAGUCCAAAUUGUAUCUCUGACAUUAUUAACUUUCAACUCUAACCACUCUGUGUCUCAGUUUUCUCAUUUGUGAAAUGGGAAUAAUGAUAAUGCAUUUUAGUGCUUAUUUCACAGAAUUGUGAUGACAUUCAAAUAAAAUUAUCAAUGAGCAACAAACACACAAAACAAAAAUGAGAGUCUGGAUCCUCAGAAAUGAGAGUCUAUAUAUAUUGAACUGGCACAGGAGAUAGAUCACCUGGCCUAGAGUUAGAAGAACUUAAGUUCAAAUAUGGGCUCAGUCA